AGUGAGUAUAUUAAGACCUGUGUGUGUUUCAAACUCUUCACUUCUUCAGCCAUGGACAAAGGUGUGCUGCUGGUCCUGUUGUGUCUGCAGGCUUUCCUGCUCAUCACUGCCUUCACUUCUACUGAUGCAGCCGCUCUGCCUAGAGAAGAUCAACUGCCUCUUGGGGAGAGAAGACCACCACCAAAAGGGAAGCCAAGCUAUUGGCUCGGCUGUUGGGGAAGAAUAGAGGGAUGUAACUCUUUCAGAGUGCCCCCUACUAAUAAUCCUGAGUUGAAUUUACUUGUCAAGCAACUUAAGAAGACGUCAACAUGAUGCGACAACAACAGAAGUUUGAAACAAGCUUUUGCAGAACUGCCAUGCUACGUUUAGGAGUGGAAGAGAAUAUCUACUGUAUGCUGUACUGCUUAUGAAAUCUGCCAUAAUUGCAAAAUAAACAAAUUCAAAUCAGA